rnacentral:misc_RNA from 1 species
AAAGUCGUAACAAGGUUUCCGUAGGUGAACCUGCGGAAGGAUCAUUAACACGUAUCCAACGUUAAACCCCCUGUGAACCUUCAGUGUGCUCCCAUAUCGCGUUAGAAACUGGCAAUUCCUGGUAAAUCAUCGCCCAACAGUUUUGAUUCAGGGACUUCUGGAAGAGGUAUGGUUGUAGCGCGAGGCAAGUGGUCUGACAGUGUCACUAGCUCUGUACGAAUGGCGCAGUCACGAUCGCUAGAGGCCGACACGGCCGGCGACCGGGUUACUGGGCUAUAUGCCCCCUCACUUCACAAGCUUUUGCAUGAAAACGGGCCUGCGCUUAAUUGUGCGGCCACCAAACUCGAACAACUGUUAACAAUGGAUAUCUUGGUUCUC